rnacentral:lncRNA from 1 species
GCAGGUUUGGAAGGACUUUGGCUAACAGAAGCUUCCUGAGUGGUUGUUCCAUCCCCAACUUUUUGUGGAAUCUGGCACUGGCCUUGGUGUCAUCUAUAAUAUAGAUUUCAAUGCUAAAUGUCAGGAGGAAAAUGGAUAGGGCAGUGUGCUUUAUGAACUGUUACCAAAAUACUAGCAUCGAAAAAGCAAGCAGCAAUUACAAACAAUAGGCUUAAGGUUAUCACGU